CUGUCAGGGCAUAGCCCUUGUGGACCUGAAGUUGACCAACUGUCACUUGUUCCUCCUGACCAAUAUGGGGCUCUACAUCAGCCAGGACCUGCUGUCUCCAGUCACAGGGACUCUGAAUUUCACACUACUGGUGCUCCCAAUUCUGGCCGAGAUGGACUACUCUUCAAUGACCCUUUGGUACUCCUCUCAGUGUGUCACCAACCACAUGUACUUUUCUGGUAUCACAUUUUAAUAUACUAUUUAUACAA